AAAGUGAGAGGAUUGUCACAGUGUAUCAGUCUGGCAGCUAAUGGAUACCCUCAGGGUGGGAGAGCCUCUCCCCAUGAGCCAAGCUCAGCCCCUCCAUCCUCAGGUGAACGUUGUAAGAAGGUGCACUGUGGCCCGAGGCUCCUUCAGUGAAGCCGGCGUCUGUAUGCUCACAGUGCACCAGGCCCUGUGCAGGGACACGGGACGCAAAGGUGAAUGCUAUGCCUCCCCUCAGAGAUGUGGACUCCUCAAACACCAGGAAGAAAUUUAGUAACUAUAACCAGGCAAUGGUGUAAUGGAGUUAGAGGGAUCUCUUGUGGUAGAUACUGAAAGACGGUUUUGGGUGCUGACAAAUCCCUUUGCCUGGUUGUCUGUGCCUCCUGUGACUGGAGGGUCCCCGUGUCUGUCUGCACUGUGCAGCAGGAUGAGACAGAAUCCCAGAGCGCAGUCCCCACAUAAACCCUUCCAUAGAAUUAGGGUUAGGCAUUGGGGGUGAUCACUUUUACAUGUGAUCUAAGUUCUCUAGAUUGUUUUGGUUGUUUAGCAUGGCGUAAAGGACCAUACUCUUGCUCCCCCAGUAGGAUUUGGAGGAAAAUGGGAAACAACUCAAACAAAGGCCCUGGGCAGAGGCAGGGGCUGGGCUGGAGGAUCAGGGAAGGGGGAGGAGAAGCAUGAGAGGCCCUGCAUUGUGCACAGUCUGUGAAGUUCGGGAGGGAGGAGGAAAGCCUGUAAUUUCUUCCUUUCUUCUCCUUUUCUUAGGUUUGGAAAAGGAACCGGGCACCAUUUCUUGGUUCGCGAGCCUUGCUAUGGUUUGAGCUUGCCCUCAGAGGGUUGACGGUGUGGGCGGAUGGCAUUGUUCCACUUAAAGUAGGGCAGCAGUUGGCGAGUGGUUAAUUUAAGAGUCACUGGUCUGACAGAACAACCCAUGCAUCCUCUCCCAUCUGCGUGGGGGAGAGGAGCCAGUGCUGUAUUUACUGUUUGGAUGGGGUCCAUGGAUCCGACCUCAGCAACCGUAUCUGGAGAGGGAGACACAGAGUUCAGGCAGCUUAACCAGGGUUAAAGUAGGGGCAACCUACUUUAGUGAAGUUAGCUUAGGCUGCGCACUUGUCAGCAAGCAUGGGGUUGAUCUUCUCCAAAGUUAGAACUUGGGAUGCAAGGAGAAGUGAUCCAAUGGUGUCUGGCUGAGGGAAGAGCGGGCUCGGCUACACCGCUGUUGGUGCGAGUGGGAACCUGAGGCCCAGGGGAGCUCACCGCGAUUCCAGGUUCCGUGUCUGUGACUGAGGCCAGGUACAACUGAGAGCCUCCCCACUCCACCCCCUGGAACCACGUCUUCAUGACAGGACAUCAAGGAAAAUGGAGGCCUUCUGAAGAAUGGAGGAGAGCACGAAUACUUUGCAAUACCGAUUGAGAAGGAUGCCGAUGUUUUUUGAUAAAUUAGAUACUGAA
rnacentral:sRNA from 1 species